CACGAACGCUGGCGGCAGGCUUAACACAUGCAAGUCGAGCGCCCCGCAAGGGGAGCGGCAGACGGGUGAGUAACGCGUGGGAAUCUACCCAUCUCUACGGAAUAACGCAUGGAAACGUGUGCUAAUACCGUAUACGUCCUUCGGGAGAAAGAUUUAUCGGAGAUGGAUGAGCCCGCGUUGGAUUAGCUAGUGGGUGGGGUAAAGGCCUACCAAGGCGACGAUCCAUAGCUGGUCUGAGCGGAUGAUCAGCCACACUGGGACUGAGACACGGCCCAGACUCCUACGGGAGGCAGCAGUGGGGAAUAGUGGACAAUGGGCGCAAGCCUGAUCCAGCCAUGCCGCGUGAGUGAUGAAGGCCCUAGGGUUGUAAAGCUCUUUCACCGGUGAAGAUAAUGACGGUAACCGGAGAAGAAGCCCCGGCUAACUUCGUGCCAGCAGCCGCCGUAACAC
rnacentral:rRNA from 1 species